rnacentral:snoRNA from 1 species
CUUCCAUUCUGGCAUGCAUGCUUUCUCCCUGUACCUGUGUUGUUGUGUUAUGGAGGGAUAACAAGGCCAGUGCUAUGUCUUCGGUGCCAGAAUGUUCCUGUCUUCUGGUUCUGUCCCAAUUCGCUGGUACAUCC